GAAGGAAGUGCCUGGCCAGGUCCAUCUAUCUCUGAAUCAGAGGAAGUGCUCAGGCCAGCAUCAUGAAACAGCCAUGGUGGGACUUUUUCUUUUAUUUUCUUCUACCCCUUCAACUCACCUCCUUGUCCAUAAUCAGAAAUGAGAGGAAAUGAGGCAAAGGGUGAUGCUGGCAUGCCAGCUCUGGAAGCCGUGAAGCCUAGAUUUAUACAGCACUCUCUGCAAGUGCUACACACACCAAUAAAAAGAGAGUUCUUCAGAAAAUGAGGUGUGACGCAGGCCAGCUUUGCCAAGACUCUCGGACCAAGAAAUAAGGAUUUAAAUAUGAAAUACUAAAAUUUAACACAUGACUGAAACAAAAUAAAUGGUGUACUACUGAAA